rnacentral:tRNA from 1 species
GGAGUUGUGCCUGAAAUAAAGGGCUACUUUGAUAGAGUAGAUCAUGAGGGAUAGAACCCCUCCGGCUCCU